CUGAGCUGAACUCUUGCAGACGGCUGCGCUGCACGUCAACAUCAGUGUAAUUCAUCAAGAAUGGAGGACGUCUUUUUUAAAAAAACAAAAACAGU